rnacentral:rRNA from 1 species
GGAGCUUGCUCCACUCGAAAGAAAAAGAGUGGCGAACGGGUGAGUAACACGUGGGUAACCUGCCCAUCAGAAGGGGAUAACACUUGGAAACAGGUGCUAAUACCGUAUAACACUAUUUUCCGCAUGGAAGAAAGUUGAAAGGCGCUUUUGCGUCACUGAUGGAUGGACCCGCGGUGCAUUAGCUAGUUGGUGAGGUAACGGCUCACCAAGGCAACGAUGCAUAGCCGACCUGAGAGGGUGAUCGGCCACACUGGGACUGAGACACGGCCCAGACUCCUACGGGAGGCAGCAGUAGGGAAUCUUCGGCAAUGGACGAAAGUCUGACCGAGCAACGCCGCGUGAGUGAAGAAGGUUUUCGGAUCGUAAAACUCUGUUGUUAGAGAAGAACAAGGAUGAGAGUAGAACGUUCAUCCCUUGACGGUAUCUAACCAGAAAGCCACGGCUAACUACGUGCCAGCAGCCGCGGUAAUACGUAGGUGGCAAGCGUUGUCCGGAUUUAUUGGGCGUAAAGCGAGCGCAGGCGGUUUCUUAAGUCUGAUGUGAAAGCCCCCGGCUCAACCGGGGAGGGUCAUUGGAAACUGGGAGACUUGAGUGCAGAAGAGGAGAGUGGAAUUCCAUGUGUAGCGGUGAAAUGCGUAGAUAUAUGGAGGAACACCAGUGGCGAAGGCGGCUCUCUGGUCUGUAACUGACGCUGAGGCUCGAAAGCGUGGGGAGCGAACAGGAUUAGAUACCCUGGUAGUCCACGCCGUAAACGAUGAGUGCUAAGUGUUGGAGGGUUUCCGCCCUUCAGUGCUGCAGCAAACGCAUUAAGCACUCCGCCUGGGGAGUACGACCGCAAGGUUGAAACUCAAAGGAAUUGACGGGGGCCCGCACAAGCGGUGGAGCAUGKGGUUURAUUCGAAGSCAACGCGAAGAACCUUASCAGGKCUUG